rnacentral:rRNA from 1 species
AGCCUGAUGCAGCGACGCCGCGUGAGGGAUGACGGCCUUCGGGUUGUAAACCUCUUUCAGUAGGGAAGAAGCGAAAGUGACGGUACCUGCAGAAGAAGCACCGGCUAACUACGUGCCAGCAGCCGCGGUAAUACGUAGGGUGCGAGCGUUAUCCGGAAUUAUUGGGCGUAAAGAGCUCGUAGGCGGUUUGUCGCGUCUGUCGUGAAAGUCCGGGGCUUAACCCCGGAUCUGCGGUGGGUACGGGCAGACUAGAGUGCAGUAGGGGAGACUGGAAUUCCUGGUGUAGCGGUGGAAUGCGCAGAUAUCAGGAGGAACACCGAUGGCGAAGGCAGGUCUCUGGGCUGUAACUGACGCUGAGGAGCGAAAGCAUGGGGAGCGAACAGGAUUAGAUACCCUGGUAGUCCAUGCCGUAAACGUUGGGCACUAGGUGUGGGGACCAUUCCACGGUUUCCGCGCCGCAGCUAACGCAUUAAGUGCCCC